rnacentral:sRNA from 1 species
AUUCUGCCCAUGCGGGGAAGGAUGAGAAGCUUCGACUAAGGUUCGGCUCGAGCGUCAGUGAGAGAGCGUUGCCGCAGGCAACGACCCGAAGGGCGAAGCGCGCAGCGCUGAGUAAUCCUUCCCCCACCACCA